rfam:Streptomyces sp. MP131-18 scaf_01, whole genome shotgun sequence.
GCGCCCUCGGCGCCAUGCCGACACCGGUACCUGGCACGGCCGGUGCGG